rnacentral:rRNA from 1 species
UACGUAGGGUGCAAGCGUUUGUCCGGAAUUAUUGGGCGUAAAGAGCUCGUAGGCGGUUUGUCGCGUCUGCUGUGAAAACCCGAGGCUCAACCUCGGGCCUGCAGUGGGUACGGGCAGACUAGAGUGCGGUAGGGGAGAUUGGAAUUCCUGGUGUAGCGGUGGAAUGCGCAGAUAUCAGGAGGAACACCGAUGGCGAAGGCACUCUACUGGGCCAUUACUGACACUGAGAGACGAAAGCUAGGGGAGCGAAUGGG